GAUGAACGCUAGCUACAGGCUUAACACAUGCAAGUCGAGGGGCAGCAUGGUCUUAGCUUGCUAAGGCCGAUGGCGACCGGCGCACGGGUGAGUAACACGUAUCCAACCUGCCGUCUACUCUUGGACAGCCUUCUGAAAAGGAAGAUUAAUACAAGAUGGCAUCAUGAGUCCGCAUGUUCACAUGAUUAAAGGUAUUCCGGUAGACGAUGGGGAUGCGUUCCAUUAGAUAGUAGGCGGGGUAACGGCCCACCUAGUCUUCGAUGGAUAGGGGUUCUGAGAGGAAGGUCCCCCANAUUGGAACUGAGACACGGUCCAAACUCCUACGGGAGGCAGCAGUGAGGAAUAUUGGUCAAUGGGCGAGAGCCUGAACCAGCCAAGUAGCGUGAAGGAUGACUGCCCUAUGGGUUGUAAACUGACUUUUAUAAGGGAAUAAAGUGGAGUCUGGACUCUUUUUGCAUGUACCUUAUGAAUAAGC
rnacentral:rRNA from 1 species